GGCUCUCUCUAAUGCUACUCAGCUCCAAAGGCAGUCUCUCUCCGAGGGCAGUCUGGAAAAUCAAGCAGCAGAGGGAGAAAAACUACUUUCGGAUCGCUAAGCAGCCAUCAGAAAUCGUAGAUCUUUCCAACUCAGAACUGAGAUGUCAGCAGGGAGAUGGACGUGCAGAAGAGAUUUAUAAACCAGGCUGAUCCAUACUGCAAAA